UACAGAGGGGGCAAGCGUUGUUCGGAAUUACUGGGCGUAAAGGGCGCGUAGGCGGCCUUCUAAGUCGAACGUGAAAUCCCCGGGCUCAACCCGGGAACUGCGUCCGAUACUGGAAGGCUUGAAUCCGGGAGAGGGAUGCGGAAUUCCAGGUGUAGCGGUGAAAUGCGUAGAUAUCAGGAGGAACACCAAUUGCGAAGGCAGCUCGCUGGGACGUUACUGACGCUGAGACGCGAAAGCGUGGGGAGCAAACAGG
rnacentral:rRNA from 1 species